CUCCACCCCAGUCCUGAAAUGACAUCUUUGUACUGUAGUUGGAUUUCUGUGUCCACGAGGAGUCAUUUGCAAGAUACCCUAGCUGGAACUACAGGAAAAGGAGCUGUCAAUUUGUUUAGCAUCAUGAAGUCAAGGAGUAAUAUCCAAGGACAAGUAGUCAUGAUAUCGCACUAAGACUGGACUUUGUGGGAUUGAGAUUCUGGACACCAUCAGUCAGCUACUGAGAGGAAGCUGGGAAACCUGGCUAUUGUUUUAUCCCCACUGCUACAUCACAACAAAGAAAAAAAGUCAGGAUUGGAUGAAAGGAGGCUGGUGAGACAUCAACAUUAUGCCUGUAAUCUACAGGUAUCUG